ACUGGUGUUAGCCCUCUCACUGGUCAAAGCUGAAGGAGUUAAGGGGCAGAGGGAUUAGGAGAGAGACCCGGCUGGGGAAGAUGAAACAGAAGAGAAGAGAACUUGAAAAACCAACAUGAUCACCAUCUGUGCUUCCAAUGAGAGGAACUUCUGCCAUCAGGAUGUCACUGCAGAGGAGGCCCUAUUCUGUGAUACCACAAUGAGGUUCACCUGCUGGUAGGGCAAACUAGUGAUUCUCGAUCGCAGGCUAGGGAGGAAAUCUCUAUUGCGUUCCGCCUGCAACUCAUUUUACUAAGAUUCUUUCAGGUUGCAGUGACAGAGUUGUCAGAAGAUGCCCUAUUCCAUGGUUGUGUGUCUAGGUCGGCUGGAUCAGGUGGCUGCUUCCCCUUCUAACGUUCCCAGUCACUGGUGUGAGAAGUCUCUCUAUGGAUCUGGUCUGCCUGCAUUCCAGACUCUACUGGAGGAGCAAUUCUCCCUGCAAAGGACAGGACUUGCCAAAAGAGCGGAAGAAGCUGUUAUGAAAAAUGUACCCCAAAAUGCGUUGCCUUUUAAGAAGGACAGACGCGGGUCGGAAGCUCCAAAAUUUGCACUAAGUUCAGCUCCGCCGGGAAAAUGACAGAGACCACACGAUGCUGUCAGGAAAAACAAACUGAUCCUUUUAUUACAGAAAAGAAAGAACUACAGCUGUAGGGUCCCUGCCUCUGGAAAGAAGGAAGGAACCCCGGGAAAUGGUGAAGCCCCUUUUUAUGCCUUCCUGUCCCUGCGUGAAAAUCCCUGGACUGGGAGGGAGGGGAAGGACAAGGAGGAUGGGUGGCGAUCGGAUUAGCUGGGUGGGGAGAUGACUUUUUCUUUCAGAUGGCGGGAUGUCAAUUGCUCUUCUCCCGUCGCUGAUGGUGCUCCCUGUUGUUUGGCAGGAGGGGCAACCAGUUGAGAUGGGUGCAGAGGUGGGGCAGUUCCUGGCAAUUUCCGUGGGGUGGAAGUCCGCCCGGCAGGUGUUUUCCUCCAGGCCAUGGAAGGGUGGGCUACGUUGAGGAUGGCAUUUUAUUUGAAUAAAGUUGUUCCAGCUAAUCCCUCUAUUGUCCGUGUGUCCUUGAAUGGGUAUAGGGUGGUAGUAGGGCAAGGUUCAGGUGGGUUGGGGUCAUACAGGGUUCAUACAGAAAAUAUACCUGGAAAACAUACCUAAUACAGGGAUUUCUAAUUAAAAGGUAGCAGUCCUGACAUAUACAGUUCUAAGAUAUAAAACAGCAAU